rnacentral:rRNA from 1 species
UACGUAGGGGGCAAGCGUUGUCCGGAAUCAUUGGGCGUAAAGCGCGUGUAGGCGGCUAGGUAAGUCUGCUCUGAAAGCCCGGGGCUCAACCCCGGGAGGCGGGUGGAUACUGUCUAGCUCGAGUCCGGAAGAGGAGUGUGGAAUUCCCGGUGUAGCGGUGAAAUGCGUAGAUAUCGGAAGGAACGCCGGUGGCGAAAGCGACGCGCUGGACCUCUACUGACGCUGAUGCGCGAAAGCCAGGGGAGCAAACGGG